AGAGUUUCUGUUUCUCCCCCAUACGGUCUGAAAAGAAGUGAGAUAACUGCUCUUUAUGGAUAACGGCGUACCCUCUGAGAAGAGUGGUGAAGUACGACCGUGGCCAUAGUUAACAUGUAAGACCACUGUUGUUGGCAUGACCGUGGUCAUAGAUUGUGUAAUGGUUUGGCAAGCCGUAAAUGUUCUGUUUAUUUUGGAAGCUGCAAAU
rnacentral:lncRNA from 1 species